CUCCAUGACCAAGCCAGUAGUUUAUACUAUACCAAUUCAGCUAGUACAAGUUAUGCUAAACUCCGUACCAAGUCAGACCCGCUGUUCCAAUCUCACGAUCUACUGUCGUAAAUACUGCUAGUCUCCUGCUAGCUUCCCGAUCUAUCUCCUGCAGCCCAAUCUGCUAUCCAAUACAGUCUCUUGGUCUUUAGCUGAUUGUAUCACCAAGUGGAAUUCCAAGAACCUCCUAUUCUUGUCCAGUUCUUGCGCUUGUCGUCCCCCUCUCUCAAUCCCUCAAUGAGAGAGUCCGUUCCUCAAAGGAUCAAGGAACCACGGUGUUUUGUCUUCGAGAACCUUGAUGCUUUUCCCAAAAAUAGGUUGUCGGGUCUCAAGAAUUAUAUGAUUGAUUUCAUCAAUGAAUACUAUUCUUGGAUCUAUAAUUGACGAAAUGUGAUCAAGUCCAAUUAUGCUCCUUCGUUCCUGUCUUUGUCUUCUGCCUUUUUCUUAACACAUGUAGCUUGUAUUUUCCCUUAAAUUUUAGCCACAGUAUGCGUGCACGUAUAUAUCUUGCAACCGCCCGAUGAGUGUCCAAAGCUGAUACUUGUAAUGUUAAUUCUAAAUCCAAUUCCAAACAAAAUCAGCCCCUAAUUUACUCGUCUUCUCUGGGCCUUUUUAUAUAUAAAUAUACACUAACCAGCCUCCAAUGUUGACUCCCAGCUACACGUCUAAUUCUUCAAUUCAGUCCCCAGAUUGGCUUUGAUUUUCUGUGAAUAUUUAUAUCCAAUUCAGCCACCAAAUGUUUUCCAAAGCUGCCGUGUCUGUCAAUACAUAUUAAAUCUAGCCACAAUAUUUGACUACGAAAAUGGGACUGGAACUCUCUUCUUGUCUCCUUUGUCUUUGCACGCAUGUAGGUCUAUAUAAUUAAAUUAGCAACCUACACUAUUUAAUUCCUCCAGCAGCAUCCCUUUUUUACUCUUCCCAUCCACUUCAAAUUCUGUGGUUUUAUGUAUAUAUAUCAACAGUAGUCGGCGCCCCUUUUUCUGCCUCAAUUUCAAUGUACAAGUAUUAAACAAUUUCAGCACUCACCACUUUGUUAAUUCCACUAGUAGCUUCAACUUUCGUUCCAAUUUUAGCAGCUGACCAGCCUUUUAUUACUUCCAACAACUUCUAUAAUUCUGUCUCCCACAGAUGCCAUUUUCUGUUGGUAAGUGUAUAUCAAUAUGGCAGCCGACAGCCCUUUUUAAUUCCUUCCGGAAGGCACCUUCAAGUUCUGUGUGUUUAUUUCUUUUGCAGUCGGCCAGCAUCUUUCUUCAAUGCAUAUGCGUAUAUAUAGAUAGAUAUGUAGACUUCGACUUAUGGGCUUCUAAUUUUACAAGCUCAAAUCCUAGCCCAACUAAACUAUACAAUAUUGCACUUCACGCCUUGACUUUUAGACAUGUUCAAUUAAGUCUCUUUUUGUUCAUAGAAUGGCAAUUACAAUUUUAAACCUAACAAUCUCCCCCUUUGGCAUUCUAUAACAAAACUAUACAAAUUCAAGUGAAGGGAUUACAAUCAAUCAAAACAACCUAAACUACCCAGCAUUCGAAUCACCGAGUCUUGCAUUCCUUGUUGUACAUGUUUCCUGGAAUCCAAAAACUCACAUGCCCAGUGUAAAAGCACGUGAUAUAGGAAAUAUAGAAAUUAAAGCACUUAAUCACAGAUUAACAUGCUAGUUUGAGACAUAAUAUUAAUGUCAAUCAAAACACCAUCCGAAACAUUAACAUCAAAACUCAAACAACUAUGGAUGUGAUAUGGAAUGCAAUGCAAUGCUCCCCCUUACUGCAAACUUUCAUAUUUUUAUGCAGUAGGUAAAUGUAUCUGUCUCUUCCCAACGAUCCCUAGAUAUAGCAAUGCAGUGCAAGUAAUGUCAAUUAACAAAAUGUGCAUGCAUUUGCUGUCGCUCUCUUAUGUGCAUGCUCUCAUUUUCCAUUUUCUCCCCCUUGUAUGUACAUUUUCUCUCCCCCUUUUUGUCACAAAUAUUGAAGGGAAUCACAUUAAGACCAAGUCGAGCAAUAACAUAUAACUAUCAAAAAUGCAGUUGAUAGCAUGUAAAAGCAAAAUUAACAAGUUGUAUACCUCUCCACAUACUUAGUUCAGUCUAAAAUGGAGUAAUAAAAGUAUAAGUGACUCAUGUGUGUAAAGUGUCACUAAUCAAAUACAAGUAAGACUCCAAACCUUAAUUUUGUGAGAAGGAACAUGCCAAUCACUGCUAGUAAGUAUAUUCUCCUACUAAUGAAAGCUAAACUAUGUAACGUGUAGUAGGUACUAUACUUACAAUUUUUAUUUAUCUCCCCCUUACUAUAAGCUUAUUUUUCAAACUUUUCAAAUUAUUCCAACUCAUAAUAUUUUUCAUGUUUCUCAUUUUUUUUCAGCUCAUUAAUUUUUCAUCUUAAGUGCAGGUUCUUCUCCAUUAGGUGAUUGAAAUGACCCUUGUAGCAAGCUUUAGGCCGAUUAACCCAAGUCAAUUGACCAUAGGCACCAUGUUUUAAGAGACUCUGCAGGCUUAAUUACUCAAGUCAAAUAGGCCCCGAAAAAAACAUUAAGAUAUGAGCUUUUAUAUAGUGGGGAGAGAUUUUUGGGUUAAGGUCUACAAAAAAGGUAAAUUCAUGUUCAAAGUCACUCCAUCAACAUGUGAAAACUAUCCCAAAUCUCACACACGCAGUAGAGUCCUUCUAACAAAUUCAUAGUGUGUG
rnacentral:lncRNA from 1 species